rnacentral:lncRNA from 1 species
GAUGUCUAAAUUUUUUUUUGCUCUUCUUCAGGACAUCAGCAAAAGAACAUGAAUUACACAGAAAGAGCCAACUAAGAAGGCAACGCUAGCAUCGACCCUAGGAAGAAAACAUGUUGCAAAUGCCAAAGCCUCGGACUAUCUGCAAACGACUACAGGUUUUCCUGUGAGCCGAACCCCUAGCAGACAGCAUGUGGGAGCACCAAGUUCUGCAGUUAGUUACUUGUCUCUCCCCACUUAAAAGCAACUCGGUGCCAUUUACCAACUCAGAGUAUGCAGAGGUCCAGUCCAGCCUAGGAAGGACCCCUCAGUGCCAGGAGGCCAGGAGCCCCAGAGGUAUAGCAAGACCUGGGCCCAUGUAUGUGUCUGUGUCGAUGGUUUGUGGAGAAAUGUAACACUGGAUCAGAGCUGAGCUGAAUAAUAAGAAACACCUUCUCUAUAGUAUUGGUCCCCCCACACUGAUAAGUCCAUCUAUAAGAACUUCCUCCACAAUAUAUCAACCAACAUUGAGGACGGAGAGGCAGGUUUGGGUGUGAAACACAGGUUUUAUUGAGCAUCCUUUCUGUGUUAGAGCAUCUUCUCUGUGUUCCUUAAAUUACUUUUCACAAACUUGUGAGGGUCCUACUAUUACAUAUUUCUUUCUUUUUCCUUUCUUUCUUUUCUUUUUUUGUUUUAACAAAUGAGGAAACAGGCUCAGAGAUUAUCUAAUUUGCCAAGUUUACCUAGCAAUAUAUUUAUUACUCCCCACCACUACUACACAGAUUGUCUUCAGUUAUUUUUAUAUUUUAAAAAAGGUGGAUAGUAAUAUUAUUCCCAUUUUCCAUAUGAGAUAACUGCCCAGAGAGGCUAAGUAACUUGCCCAGAGUCACACAGAUAGUAUUUGAGGAAGAAUUUGAGCUCUUGUGCAUUGUAUAUCAUUGCUUCUUACUAAUAUAUUAUAAUGCAUGAGGAAUUUCAAACACACAGCACACAUACACACAGCAUUCACCGAGAACCCCAAUUUGAUUCAUUUUGAGAAGAGCAUUAGACUCAGAGACAGAACUCAGCUAUAAUCUUUUCUUUUUACCCAAGCUGAUUACAUACUUUGGUCAUAAUAAUUUAAUAUCUCUGAUCUUAUUUUUGCAUUUGCAAAAUGGAGGUUGCCAUGAGGCUUAAGAUGAGAUUAUGCCUGUGAAAGGGCUAUCUUAGUUGUCCAGAGGGCUACCUGCUACUCAAACCCAGGAGGCAAAUGCGUGCACUCUCUCUCUAAGACACCAUUCCUCUGGCACAUUUUGGGGACGGAUGACUUGAGCUCUCACUGUAAGUCAUGUCCCAUUUUCGCUCCAAUCUCAUUCCACUCGGGAAUGUCGGUCUUGCCAAGCCUGGCGUUAUCAGGAGACUGUGGUCAAGAACACAGGUACAAGUAUAUCAGAUGAGAACAUAUGUUUGAACUCAGGCACAGUUUUCACAAAAUGUUGCUUUCUGUUGCAGGCAGGGUAAGAGAAAUCGCCUUUAAAAUUCCCAUUAAAAAAGACUCUCAGGCUCCUCAGACAUCAAAUAACUCUCACAAGACAACAUUUUAAUGAUUUAAGUGUAAAUGAAUCAGAAACACAUGGACUGCAUUUCUUUUGGAAUACACAAAGGUUUUAAAACCAAAGGAGAAAGAACUUGGCAAAAUGCACACAGUGCUGCGCAGAGGGCCCUGCCCAGGAAAGACUCCCUGGAUUCAUGCUGCCUCUGAGCUCGCCCUCCCCGAUUUUAGGGGACACACUGGGAAAUACAAUCAUCUGUUCUGGUUCUGGGCACAGAGGGAAGAGCUUGGAAGAGAAAGUCACCGUUCCCUCUUGUUCUCAAGUGUCAUAGAACAAUUAGGCCUCCCAGAAUAAUUUCCUGGCAGUGUUUUUCCAAGGCUGCCAGUGUUCAAUGGCAGGCAUUUGAAAUAUGUUUGAAGCCAAAGUUCUGCCAAUAUACAGCAGAUCUGAUAUGUGUGCUUCCCUGGGAUUUAGCCAAGACUCAGAGGAAAUCUGCAUGAGAACUGUAACUGGCUCAGUGAGGGAUCUCGGGAGAACCAGCGCAGAUCCACAUUGAGUCAGACGGCAUUUGCGACAGUGUCCGGUGCUUUUGAUGUGAACUCCUGGAUGUCAUUAUCAGAUUGUGGGUGGGGCAGGGGAGGUAUGUAAGGGACCGGGACUAGGAGAAGUGGACUCAGUGUCUGUGAGCUGUGUGUGACCUUAGGAGAGUCAUUUUCUUUCUUGGGGGAGGACAUCAGUUUGCUCAGCCAUCAAAUCCAUGCAUUGGACUCGGCUGAACUUACGGAGCACACUAAUGUGAACUUGAAGGUCGUGCAAGUGUGAAGGAGGCUCAGUGGAUCGUGAGACCACUGAAGAGUCAAGGUAACUUGAGUACCUUGUAUCUUGAGUACUCAAGGUAUCUAGAGUAGUCUUCGUCAUCUUGGCACUUGCUUUUUCUGUGGUCACCAUUCGUUACUCAGAAUUCCUUCAUAGAUAUUCGGGGGAGGGGGGAGAAAUAGCCCUUAAAGGGUUUCAAUGAGUUUUUUUUUUUUUUAAGUUUGAUAAAAAUGGUUUAAAAAUGAAUAUGAGGAACUAAUAGUUUAUUUAGAAUCAUACAAGUGUAUGGUGUUGGAGGUGGCCUGGCUGCUCUUGGGUUACGGUCAGAGGGGGGUUUCAGAGAGCUUACCCCUGUGGAAUACUGCUGCAGCAUUCCCACCACUGGAGGAUUUUGGUUUACAUGUUCUACCAAAGUAUUUAUUUUGUGUAACUCCUGAGUGCAAGUUUCUGGAAUUCCAUGAAUGUGUCCGACAAUGCAAAGAAUUUGGGUGAUAGGUUUUUUGGAAAAGCCCGAGAUCCAGGGCUCCCUAUAGAACAAGCUAAGUAACUGAUAAAUAGAUCCAAAGACCGUAGCUAGAGUUAAACUUUGGGUGGUUCAACAUAUUGACUAACUGUGUUGAAAGUAAUUUAAAAAAUGCCAAUCCUGGAGCUACGUCCCAGGAGAUUUAAAUUCAAUGAAUCUUUGUAGGGCAUCUGAAUCUGCAAUUUUAGAAUCUCCCCUGGUGUGAUUUUGCCAUUUUUGGUAAUGUAACAUAAUGGUACAUCUUAUAAUUGAUGGUGUCUUAGAUUUGAUGAGAUAAUACCUAGUAAUACCACACUCUUUCAUGUAUGUUUUUGCAUGUAAUAGUCACAUCUUUUUACAGAUGAAGACCACAUUGUUCAGAGAAAAUGAGUGUGUCUGUAAAGGAAUGAUCAUUGUCUAGAGUUCAGGCUCCUGAUCCCAAAUCCAAGGUUUUUUCCCCUCAUCUGCAGACUUCUGGUACUUCCUGUGGAAUUUAAAUAUUCAUGAGUCAUGCUGUCAUGGGAUUACACAAUUUUUCAGAGAAGGAAAAAAAAAUAGCUUACAUUUAAAAGAUGAACUCUUAGGCUCUGAUAGGGGCUAAUUAAGCCCCCCUUGAACUCAUAUGUUGACAUCGCAACCCCAGUACCUCGGACCAUGACUUUGGUGGCUUAUAAAGAGGUGAUUAAUUACAAUGGGGUCUAUGGAGUAGGCUCCAGUCCAACAUGACUAGUGUCUUCUGAAGGGAUGAAGACACAGUUAUGCAGGGGAAGACCACAGGAAGAAGACAGCAUUCUUCACACCCAGGACAAAAGUCUCAGAAGAAACUUUGGAGGUUGGAGGAAUUGGUGGUUGGGUCAGGAGAUAGUGGCACUGAUCAAAGCCAUGACUGGACAGGCACCAGNGAGCUUACCCCUGUGGAAUACUGCUGCAGCAUUCCCACCACUGGAGGAUUUUGGUUUACAUGUUCUACCAAAGUAUUUAUUUUGUGUAACUCCUGAGUGCAAGUUUCUGGAAUUCCAUGAAUGUGUCCGACAAUGCAAAGAAUUUGGGUGAUAGGUUUUUUGGAAAAGCCCGAGAUCCAGGGCUCCCUAUAGAACAAGCUAAGUAACUGAUAAAUAGAUCCAAAGACCGUAGCUAGAGUUAAACUUUGGGUGGUUCAACAUAUUGACUAACUGUGUUGAAAGUAAUUUAAAAAAUGCCAAUCCUGGAGCUACGUCCCAGGAGAUUUAAAUUCAAUGAAUCUUUGUAGGGCAUCUGAAUCUGCAAUUUUAGAAUCUCCCCUGGUGUGAUUUUGCCAUUUUUGGUAAUGUAACAUAAUGGUACAUCUUAUAAUUGAUGGUGUCUUAGAUUUGAUGAGAUAAUACCUAGUAAUACCACACUCUUUCAUGUAUGUUUUUGCAUAUAAUAGUCACAUCUUUUUACAGAUGAAGACCACAUUGUUCAGAGAAAAUGAGUGUGUCUGUAAAGGAAUGAUCAUUGUCUAGAGUUCAGGCUCCUGAUCCCAAAUCCAAGGUUUUUUCCCCUCAUCUGCAGACUUCUGGUACUUCCUGUGGAAUUUAAAUAUUCAUGAGUCAUGCUGUCAUGGGAUUACACAAUUUUUCAGAGAAGGAAAAAAAAAUAGCUUACAUUUAAAAGAUGAACUCUUAGGCUCUGAUAGGGGCUAAUUAAGCCCCCCUUGAACUCAUAUGUUGACAUCGCAACCCCAGUACCUCGGACCAUGACUUUGGUGGCUUUAUAUCUAGGAGCAUUUACUAAUCUUUCAGUAUAUCAAGGAAAAAAUAUCUUAAAAAUUACUGGAGAACAAAAGUUAAAUUGUCUACAAAAGAAUGAAGAUCAGAUUAACAUCAGAUUUCUAAAUUGCCAUCCAGAAAUAAGGGGAAAAUAGAGGAUCGUUUAAUGUGCAAAAGACAUUUAAACUUAUAAUCAUACACAAGUCAAAAGAUACUAUGUACAGUUGAAGAUGGAACAAGGAUAUAUUCAGACUUUAAAAUUUACCAUUAAAGACCUUUUCAGAAAGAAUUACUGAAAAAUGUGCACCAAGAGGGACAAAAAUUGUUAGUGUUGACAAUACUGUGGAGAAAUGGUGUUAUGGUUUAGAAGACAUGAGGUAUCCCCCAAAAGUCCGUGUGUGAGACAUUGCAAGAAAGCUUAGAGGUAAAAUGAUUGGAUUAUGACAGCCUUAACCUAAUCAGCACAUCAAUCCCCUGAUAGAUAUCAAUUGGGUGGUAACUAUAAAAAGGCAGGUUGUGGCUGGAGGAGGCAAGUUGUUGGAGCAUGCCCGUGGAGGGGAACAGUCUCUUUCUGCUUCCUGGUGGCCAUGUCUGAGCCACUUUCCUCCACCACACUCUUCUGCUAUUAUAUUCUGCCUGAUUUCAGGUCCAGAGCAGUGGAAUUAGAAAUCUAUGAAAUGAAACCUCUGAAACCAUGAACCCCAAAUAAAUUUUUCUUCCUCUAAAAUUGUUCUUGGCAGGUCUUUUGAUCACAGUAGCAAAGAAGCUAACUAACACCAAUGGGUGUAUUCAUACAAUGCAUGUGAGUGUAUAAAGUGACAGUUUUCUAAAGGGUGAUAUGGUUCUAUUAGUGAAAUAAAAAUGUGCUUAUCUUAAAAAUCAGCAAUUUUACUUUAAAAACACCCUCACAAUAUAUAAACAUUUUUGUUGUAGUAUUAUUUGUCAAGGAGAAAACUGGGCCUCAACAAAGAGUGGCUAGUUAUAAAAUGUUGUAUUCAUACCAUGAAAUAUUAAACACUAAUUAGAAAGAACAAAAAUGAUCUAUAUGAAUCAAUAUGGAUUUGACUCCAACCCUUUUUGUUGGGUGAAAAGGGCAGGUUGAGUAAUGUACAUAUCUUAAGUCCACUACUAUUAUUGUGUUCCUGUCCAUUCACCCAUUUAGUUUUGUUAA